ACAACAGGAACCGUUCGUAGCUGUCAUCCCGUAUAUCCACGGCCUAUCGCACCGUUUAAAGAAAAUAGGUCAACGUGCGAAUGUUAGGGUUGUGUUUUCAGCAUCGACAAAAUUGCAGUGUCAGUGCAGACUAACCAGA
rnacentral:lncRNA from 1 species